rnacentral:rRNA from 1 species
AUUGAACGCUGGCGGCAUGCCUUACACAUGCAAGUCGAACGGCAGCACGGGUGCUUGCACCUGGUGGCGAGUGGCGCACGGGUGAGUAAUACAUCGGAACAUGUCCUGUAGUGGGGGAUAGCCCGGCGAAAGCCGGAUUAAUACCGCAUACGAUCUACGGAUGAAAGCGGGGUACCUUCGGGCCUCGCGCUAUACGGUUGGCCGAUGGCUGAUUAGCUAGUUGGUGGGGUAAAGGCCUACCAAGGCGACGAUCAGUAGCUGGUCUGAGAGGACGACCAGCCACACUGGGACUGAGACACGGCCCAGACUCCUACGGGAGGCAGCAGUGGGGAAUUUUGGACAAUGGGCGAAAGCCUGAUCCAGCAAUGCCGCGUGUGUGAAGAAGGCCUUCGGGUUGUAAAGCACUUUUGUCCGGAAAGAAAUCCUUGGCCCUAAUACGGUCGGGGGAUGACGGUACCGGAAGAAUAAGCACCGGCUAACUACGUG